CGGCACGAAAAUAUUCAGUUUGCAGCCAGAGCUCGUCUGGAGCAGAUCUACUUUUAUUCGGCUUUAAAUAUUCAAAAAAAUAUCAAAAUUUUUAAGUGAACAAAAUGUGAAACAAUAAAUAAUUUUGUACAAAUUAUACAAACAAUUUUUCGGUAUUCCUUAGUAACUUCUCUACUGGACGUAAUACUUGCUUCCUAAGUUCUCAAACAAUUACACAACAACAACAAAAACAAGAAACACAAAUGUUUACAAUUAUAUUCCUUUGGAUCGCGGAGUGAGUACAAGCGAAUUGUUUUAUUGCAUUUCUGGUUUUCGUUUUAAAGAGAUAUUUACAUGUUUGGACAUUUUUAUUCUUAAUAAUGUUCCUUAAAUCACAAGUGUUCUUCGGUGUUUUCAGUUUAUUUUGCGCUUAAAGGAGGGUGUUGGGGGUAUGUGGUAUUUAUACACAACAUUAUGAACAAAAUACAACAAAAAUGGAUUCAUGUUUGGACUCUAAAUAAGAGCUUGGAUUUCAAUUACUCAACACAAAUUUGAUUUUGCGCUUCAUGUUAAAAAGGUUGCCUCGUACAACAUGUUAACCAUCUGAUUUCACAAACUGGCGAUGGAACCCGUCUCGAUUUGACGCGCAGCCUGGCAUCUGGAUUUUCGAUCGUUCAUCUAUUAGUUGUUACAAUCAUUAACAAAUAAAUGAGAACGAUCUCGAUAGAGCUUCUGCAAAUGU